rnacentral:rRNA from 1 species
GAGUUUGAUCGUGGCUCAGAACGAACGCUGGCGGCGUGCCUAACACAUGCAAGUCGCGCGAGAAAAGGGGGGCAACUCCCUGAGUAAAGCGGCGCACGGGUGAGUAACACGUAGGUAAUCUACCCUCGAGUCCAGGAUAACCUACCGAAAGGUGGGCUAAUACCGGAUAUGACCACGGGAGUCUCGGCUCCUGCGGUGAAAGGUGGCCUCUGCUUGCAAGCUACUGCUCGGAGAUGAGCCUGCGGGCCAUUAGCUAGUUGGUGAGGUAACGGCUCACCAAGGCGAUGAUGGCUAGCUGGUCUGAGAGGAUGGCCAGCCACACUGGGACUGAAACACGGCCCAGACUCCUACGGGAGGCAGCAGUGGGGGAUAUUGCGCAAUGGGCGAAAGCCUGACGCAGCGACGCCGCGUGGGUGAUGAAGGCCUUCGGGCCGUAAAGCCCUGUCGAGGGGAACGAAACGGUCUCGACCUAACACGUCGAGUCCCUGACGGUACCCCUAAA